rnacentral:lncRNA from 1 species
ACCAGAGGCUGUUGAAAAAUGGCGACUGUUACUGAAUUGAAAGCUGUUUCACCUUGGAAAAAAGGGGAGUGUUAAGACAUUUAAAAGCAAGGAUCUGUGCUGAAGUUUUCACUGCCCUGGAUGAUGAUCGUGAACCCCGACCAUCAUUGUCUCAUGAGAACUUUCUAAUUAAUGGAUUAAUUAGGGAUUAUUUGGAAUUCAACAAAUAUAAAUACACAGCCUCUGUCCUCAUAGCAGAAUCUGGUCAACCUGUAGUUCCAUUGGACAGGCAGUGUCUCAUCCGUGAACUAAAUGCCUUUGAAGAAUCAAAGGAUAACUCAAUCCC